rnacentral:rRNA from 1 species
ACAGCAGUCGCCACGGGAAUGCGGAGGGGGCUAGCGUUGUUCGGAAUUACUGGGCGUAAAGCGCACGUAGGCGGCUUUGUAAGUUAGAGGUGAAAGCCCGGGGCUCAACCCCGGAAUUGCCUUUAAGACUGCAGAGCUAGCAGGUGAGAGAGGUGAGUGGAAUUCCGAGUGUAGAGGUGAAAUUCGUAGAUAUUCGGAAGAACACCAGUGGCGAAGGCGGCUCACUGGCUCAUACCGGACGCUGAGGUGCGAAAGCGUGGGGAGCAAACAGGAUUAGAUACCCCCGUAGUCCCUGUCUCUUAUAA